UACGAAGGGGGCUAGCGUUGCUCGGAAUCACUGGGCUUAAAGCGUGUGUAGGCGGAUCGUUAAGUACCUUGUGAAAUCCCACGGCUUAACCGUGGAACUGCUGGGUAUACUGGCGAUCUUGAGCCACCUAGGGGCAACCGGAACAAAUGGUGGAGCGGUGAAAUGCGUAGAUAUCAUUUGGAACGCCAAUGGUGAAAACAGGUUGCUGGGGGUGUGCUGACGCUGAGACACGAAAGCCAGGGGAGCGAACGGG
rnacentral:rRNA from 1 species